UACGUAGGGGGCAAGCGUUGUCCGGAUUUAUUGGGCGUAAAGAGCGUGUAGGCGGCUUUACAGGUCCGUUGUGAAAACUCGAGGCUCAACCUCGAGACGCCGGUGGAAACCGUAAAGCUAGAAUCCGGGAGAGGGAUGUGGAAUUCCUGGUGUAGCGGUGGAAUGCGCAGAUAUCAGGAGGAACACCGACGGCGAAGGCAGCUUACUGGGCCGAUACUGACGCUGAGGAGCGAAAGCGUGGGGAGCGAACAGG
rnacentral:rRNA from 1 species